rnacentral:rRNA from 1 species
AAAAAAGGUAAGCUACUAAGAGCGAAUGGUGGAUGCCUUGACUGGUAAAGGCGAUGAAGGACGUACUAGACUGCGAUAAGCUACGGGGAGCUGUCAAGAAGCUUUGAUCCGUAGAUUUCCGAAUGGGGCAACCCAAUGUAUAGAGAUAUACAUUACCUAUAUAGGAGCGAACGAGGGGAAUUGAAACAUCUUAGUACCCUCAGGAAAAGAAAUCAAUAGAGAUUGCGUCAGUAGCGGCGAGCGAAAGCGCAAGAGGGCAAACCCAGUGCUUGCACUGGGGGUUGUAGGACUGCAAUGUGCAAGAGCUGAGUUUAGCAGAACAUUCUGGAAAGUAUAGCCAUAGAGGGUGAUAGUCCCGUAUGCGAAAAACAAAGCUUAGCUAGCAGUAUCCUGAGUAGGGCGGGACACGAGAAAUCCUGUCUGAAGCUGGGUCGACCACGAUCCAACCCUAAAUACUAAUACCAGAUCGAUAGUGCACAAGUACCGUGAGGGAAAGGUGAAAAGAACUGAGGUGAUCAGAGUGAAAUAGAACCUGAAACCAUUUGCUUACAAUCAUUCAGAGCCCUAUGUAGCAAUACAGGGUGAUGGACUGCCUUUUGCAUAAUGAGCCUGCGAGUUGUGGUGUCUGGCAAGGUUAAGCAAACGCGAAGCCGUAGCGAAAGCGAGUCUGAAUAGGGCGCUUAGUCAGAUGCUGCAGACCCGAAACGAAGUGAUCUAUCCAUGAGCAAGUUGAAGCUAGUGUAAGAACUAGUGGAGGACUGAACCCAUAGGCGUUGAAAAGCCCCGGGAUGACUUGUGGAUAGGGGUGAAAGGCCAAUCAAACUUCGUGAUAGCUGGUUCUCUCCGAAAUAUAUUUAGGUAUAGCGUUGUGUCGUAAUAUAAGGGGGUAGAGCACUGAAUGGGCUAGGGCAUACACCAAUGUACCAAACCCUAUCAAACUCCGAAUACCUUAUAUGUAAUCACAGCAGUCAGGCGGCGAGUGAUAAAAUCCGUCGUCAAGAGGGAAACAACCCAGACUACCAGCUAAGGUCCCUAAAUCUUACUUAAGUGGAAAACGAUGUGAAGUUACUUAAACAACCAGGAGGUUGGCUUAGAAGCAGCCAUCCUUUAAAGAAAGCGUAAUAGCUCACUGGUCUAGUGAUUUUGCGCGGAAAAUAUAACGGGGCUAAAGU